CCCGCUGAACUUAAGCAUAUCAAUAAGCGGAGGAAAAGAAAUCAAACGAGAUUUCCCUAGUAACUGCGAGUGAACAGGAAUCAAGCGUAUUGCCAAUUCUCAUGUUCUGUACAAUGAGAGAUGAGGUGUAAAGGUGUCUUGUGUUCAGCAGGCGCUCGGCCGAACUACUAUUGAGUGAGUGCUCAGAGAAGGUGAAAAGCCUGUGCGGCUGAGCGGACUCGCUGAACCGGGAUACUGAAGAGUCUAGUUGUUUGAGAGUACAACUUAAAGUUGGUGGUAAAUUUCAUCAAAGGCUAAAUAUAUGAGGGGACUAAUAGCGAACAAGUACCAUGAGGGAAAGUUGAAAAGAACUCUGACGAGAGAGUUCAACAGUACGUGAAACCAUAAUCAGUAAAACAGAUAACUGUGCUGUUUCGUGGUACGCUCUUCAACGGCCGAGUCGGUGUUGUGAGGCCUCGAGAUAACACUGUUCAUUCAGUCUGUUGCUCGUGGUUAGCAUAGCCGAGGUGACCGUGAUCUGGUCGUGCCCGCUCACUGAGGAGCCAUGUCGCUGCGGACGCCGUGCGUUUCAGUUCGCUCUUUGAGCGUAGUGGCGUGCGGGCUGAAUGUGGCGGCGUUGCUUCCGAGGCGGGGUGCGUUUGCUAAAGGCGGUUGCUUUGUCUGCGGUUAGGUUCAUUCCGUACUGCGGUGAGUACGCAUCGUCCUACGCAAGCGCCCCGCGUUCAGUGCUUUAGCAUUAGUUAUUUGACCCGUCUUGAAACACGG
rnacentral:rRNA from 1 species